rnacentral:lncRNA from 1 species
GGCCUACAGUGACCUAUAGUUGCCUCUUUCUGUGUCAUUUGGUCUCUUGUGGCAAUUAUACCAAAUCUUUCAUAUUUUUUUUAUAUUUGAAUUUAAUUCAAUUGUUGAACUAGGUUUAAGCUAAAGCGACUGUAUGUCAUGGUGCUUGCCAACAAUAUAGUACAAAACACAGUAAAUAGCUUCUAAUAUAUAAAUAGUCUGUGAAAAGAACGGUUCAAAAGUGCCCAAUAUCCUUUAAGUCAUUAGAGUACUAAAAGAGAAAUCAAAAGGCGUCAAAUUUGAAGAAAAAGCAAUACUUUGUACGAAAUUUUAUAGACAAAUAAAAUUGAGAAUGGAAAUGGAAAAUAUGUCAAAGAGACAACAACCAGAAAAAGCAACCGAUAACAGCUACAUCUUAAAAGCCUCCAAUUGGUCUUCAACGCAGCAAAACAAAUUCCACAUCCCACCUUAAUUAAACUGAUUGAACGAAUGUCAUUAAAAG